GGGGCGUAGUUCAGUUGGUUAGAACGCUGGCCUGUCACGCCAGAGGUCGCGAGUUCGAGUCUCGUCGUCCCC
rnacentral:tRNA from 1 species